rnacentral:snRNA from 1 species
AUACUUACCUGGCAGGGGAGAUACCAUGAUCACGAAGGCGGUUUUCCCAGGACGAGGCUUAUCCAUUGCACUCCGUAUGUGCUGACCCCUGCAAUCUCCCCAAAUGUGGGAGACUUGACUGCAUAAUUUGUGGUAGCGGGGGACUACACUCACACUUUCCCCUG